rnacentral:lncRNA from 1 species
ACUAUUUCCACGUGGAACCCUGAUGUCAAUACGGAGUGUGCAGCACUCAGGCUGCACCAAGUGACAGAAGAAGCUGUUACAAGAGCAGCUGUUGUACAUUGUACACAGAAAGUACCAGUAAAGGUGAAGCCUUUCUCAUUAUCUUCUGCUGAUGUUUCUACUACCUCCAGGCCUAAGUUCCAUUUCUGACAUCCCAGUAGGACCUGCUAAAAAUGGAUACAACAAGGAGAAAAAUUAAGAUAAGCAGAGUAAGAAUCUUACAAAAAUUUGUCUCAUAAU